rnacentral:rRNA from 1 species
GACAGAGGCCUCGAGCGUUAGGCGGAAUCACUGGGCUUAAAGCGUGUGUAGGCGGACUUCUAAGUACCUUGGUGAAAUCCCACGGCUUAACUGUGGAGCUGCUUGGUAUACUGGUUGUCUUGAGCCACUCAGGGGGCGAGCGGAACAAAUGGUGGAGACGGUGAAAUGCGUAGAGAUCAUAAGGAAGACCAGUGGCGAAGGCGGGUCUCUGGACCACUACUGACGUGGAGGAACGAAAGCUAGGGGAGCAAACAGG